CAGCCGCCGCGGUAAUACGUAGGGUGCGAGCGUUAAUCGGAUUUACUGGGCGUAAAGCGUGCGCAGGCGGCCCGUUAAGACAGGUGUGAAAUCCCUGGGCUCAACCUAGGAAUUGCGCUUGUGACUGGCGGGCUCGAGUACGGUAGAGGGGGGUGGAAUUCCUGGUGUAGCAGUGAAAUGCGUAGAGAUCAGGAGGAACACCGAUGGCGAAGGCAGCCACCUGGGCCUGUACUGACGCUCAUGCACGAAAGCGUGGGGAGCAAACAGGAUUAGAUACCCUGGUAGUCAACGCCCUAAACGAUGGGUACUAGCCGUUUGGUGCGCGAUAGCGCUGAGUGGCGAAGCUAACGCGUGAAGUACCCCGCCUGGGGAGUACGGCCGCAAGGUUGAAACUUAAAGGAAUUGGCGGG
rnacentral:rRNA from 1 species